UAUUUCUCACUUUCUACAUGAAUCAAAGAAGAGAAAGCUUGAAGUUGCUGAUGAUGAGACUGAUAAUCCUGUUGUGGCUUCCUUGGGGAAAAAGAAAUACAAGAAGAGGCAUGCUCAAACUACUAAACGGCAUGCUCAAAUACAAGAGGCCACAAUCAAAUCUGGGAAGGAACAAGCGAGCAGUGGCGAUGAUAUGACACUUAAUUGUUUUUUACGUAAUAGAUCAAAGAAGCGACG
rnacentral:lncRNA from 1 species